UACAGAGGUGCCAAGCGUUGUUCGGAUUCACUGGGCGUAAAGGGUGCGUAGGCGGUCAUGUAAGUUGGGUGUGAAAUCCCGGAGCCUAACUCCGGAAUUGCAUUCAAAACUGCAUGGCUGGAGGUCUGGAGAGGUGACUGGAAUUCUCGGUGUAGCAGUGAAAUGCGUAGAUAUCGAGAGGAACACCAGAGGCGAAGGCGAGUCACUGGACAGAACCUGACGCUGAGGCACGAAAGCCAGGGGAGCAAACGGG
rnacentral:rRNA from 1 species